rnacentral:rRNA from 1 species
UGGGGAAUAUUGGACAAUGGGCGCAAGCCUGAUCCAGCCAUGCCGCGUGAGUGAUGAAGGCCCUAGGGUUGUAAAGCUCUUUCAGUGGGGACGAUAAUGACGGUACCCACAGAAGAAGCCCCGGCUAACUUCGUGCCAGCAGCCGCGGUAAUACGAAGGGGGCUAGCGUUGUUCGGAAUUACUGGGCGUAAAGCGCACGUAGGCGGACAUUUAAGUCAGGGGUGAAAUCCCGGGGCUCAACCCCGGAACUGCCUCUGAUACUGGGUGUCUUGAGUGUGGUAGAGGUGAGUGGAAUUGCGAGUGUAGAGGUGAAAUUCGUAGAUAUUCGCAGGAACACCAGUGGCGAAGGC